ensembl:lncRNA
AUGGAAGAUGAUCCCUCGGACAAGCUGAGAUCUGAAACUGCUCUGGUGGGCGACCCUUCAGGUGAGCUGAAGUCUGGGAUCGCUUGGGAGGACGACACCCCGGGACAGAUUAAGAUCCAGGGCGGCCACUCAGGCAGACAUGAAUCCAGGGUCACUCUUGUGGACGACCCCUCGGACAAGCAGGAACACUGGCUGUGGUGGCAUUGGUGGGACUGGCCGAAUCACCAUGACAAAGGUCAGAAUCUGGAGAUGUGGUGGCGUUGGCAGCACCAGCCGACCCACCAGGAUGAGACUUGGGUACAUUGCCCAGUCUUUUAGGAGAACCGGACCCUCCCAGAGACUCCAAGAAGGCCAGGUAUUCUGUACUGCUAUUCCGCUCAUAGGCCGAAACAACAGUAAGAGACCUGUGCCCGAAGGUCCAAGGAAGUGACCCUAUCAUUCAAUGGGGAAAACUCCAACACCAGGCGGCUGAGCUGGGGAGCUAUAAGUAAGCCCACACCAGCCCGCCGCCUCUUACUGCAGGCAACUCCAGAGUAGAAGAGAGUCCAGCCCCUCUCAAGGAUGGGUUCCAGAGCCCAGGCUGCACUCUUGGUCUGGUCCAUCACCUUGGACCUGUUUGCCUUGGCAGGUGGCAUUUCUGUUGUUACUUUUAAAAGUUAUAAAUGCUUUCUUUAAAAGCGUACUGCACUGUGUCAUGUUUUGGAAUGUAGCCUUCCUGGAUUAUACAAUUUUUGUUGUUGGUAAUUUAUGCAUAACAUCUCAACAAAGUCUCUAGAACAUUAUAAGUAUUGUAUACUUACAUAUCCUAUAGGCAGCAAAGAUGAUGAUGAUGAUGACGACGACGAUGAUGAUGAUGAUGACUGCAGUAAUACCUUAAAAAAUAGAGGAUAAGCACAUAUAUAAAAUAUUCAUAAACAUGGAUGAAAGUGAACCUCCAACCAUGGGACUUCUGCCUGUCAGGAGCAUUAUACCAAAUUAACCACAGCUGUGGACACAAGCAUGGCACACCCCCACACUCCCCCUCUUUUCACUGACUGGCAGAAGGACAACCUGUUCCCCCCCACGUAACAGUGAAUGGUUACAGGGAGAGGUGGGAAGUAACAACGUACAAAUACUUCGUUACUGUACUUAAGUAGAUUUUUCAGGUAUCAGUACUUUACUUGAUUAUUUAUUUUUCUGAGGACGUUUUACUUUUACUCCCUACAUUUAAACACAAAUGUGUGUACAUGUGUACAUGUGUACAUUCUACUCCUUACAUUAUCAAAACAGACUUGUUACUCUUUCAACCUCCACAGAUGACAUCACGACGUAAAAGAUGUAACUAACGAGGUAGAGAGGGGAAUCCAGUGAGUGUACAGGUUAUGAUAGAGAGAAAACUUGCAGUGUGACAUGGAGGAAAAAAGGGAUCCAGGGAGUGUUGUUGAGUCCGACGACGAUGCAGCAGAUUCAGAAAAGCAAGACAUUCCCCAUCCAUGGCCGUAUUUAAAAGAAUGAUUCAUGGCAAAUGUGUUGUAUUUUGUUCCCUGUACCAGCACUGUGCAGGUUGUUAAUAAAAGGAGGAAUUUCAUUUUGUUGUAUCAAACUUUUUUAGUUUUGUGGAGUUAUCUAAAGAUGUAUUGUGUAUCAUUGAUGGCAAAAAACAUUUGUACUUUUUACUAUUUUUACUUAAGUACAUUUCAGACCCUGUACUUUCUUACUUUUACUUGAGUAAAGGAGUUGAGUCAUACUUCUCCUUUUACUAGAGUCUUUUUUUUUUCCACACAAGUAUCUGUACUUUUACUUAAGUAUAGAAUGUGAGUACUUUUGCCACCUCUGGUUACAGAUUCACUUUCAUUCAUAAAACUAUGUUUACAAGCAUAAACAUUUAUUUCAGUCAUUGAACCUGCAACCAUCAGACAGCAAUAUACCAAAUCAGUCACAAAGGGAGUGAGUUUGAUCAGCAUAGUAUUAAAGAAAUUUUCACUCUGUCUCUAAGCAUAUGCACAUUCUGGCACAUCUGAUCCUCUGAUCUUCGAGGUAGUUCAAAAUCCAGAAGCCCCUGUCCUGCAGGGGGGCUAGGAGAGGAUCCAUGCACUUUGUAAAUGUCCACUGACCACUUGCCAGGCUAGCUGCCCUACAGUGCCCUCGUCCAACCUCCUUGGGGUUAUGCUAGCCUACAAGACAGCCUUCCGGUCCACAAUGGCCCACUACUGUGAAAAACCUUGGAGCUAAUUUUGACCAGGAUAUGUCCUUUCAUUCACACACAAAACAAAUCUCUAGAACUGCCUUCUUUCACUUACGCAAUAUUGCCAAAAGUAGGAACAUCCUGUCUCAAAAUGAGAUUUGAGAAAAAAUGAGAAAAACUAGUCUUAAAGUUACAUAUAUAGUUACCUAAAGGCUAGAUUACUGUAACUCAUUACUAUCUGGAUGUCCCAGUAUCUCCAUAAAUUAAUUAAUUAAAUUAAAUUAAAUUAAUCCAGAAUGCUGCAGCCAGAGUCCUGACAGGAACUAUCAAGAGAGAUCAUAUUUCUCCUAUAUUGGCUUCUCUUCAUUGGCUCCCUGUAAAAUACAGAAUAUAAUUUAAAAUCCUUCUUCUCACAUACAAAUCCCUUCAUGAUCAAGCUCCUUCAUACAUUAAAGACCUCAUAGUACCAUAUUGUCCCAAUAGACCACUUCGCUCUCAGAGUGCAGGUCUACUUGUGUGUUUUCCAGAGUUUCCAAAAGUAGAAUGGGAGGCAGAGCCUUUAGCUAUCAAGCUCCUCUCCUGUGGAACCAGCUUCCAGUCUGGGUUCAGAGGCAGACACUCUCUGUACUUUUAAGGCUAGACUUAAAACCUUCCUCUUUGACAAAGCAUAUAGUUAGGGCUGGCUUCAGGUAACCCUGAACCAUUCCUUAGUUAUGCUGCUAUAGGCCUAGACUGCCCGAGGACCAUCAGCGCACUGAGCUCCCCUCCCCUCCCUUCUCCCCCUCUCCUUCCCCCCUCACAUGUAUAUUCC